rnacentral:misc_RNA from 1 species
GAUGAAGAACGCAGCGAAAUGCGAUACUUGGAGUGAAUUGCAGAAUCCCGUGAACCAUCGAGUCUUUGAACGCAAGUUGCGCCCGAAGCCAUUAGGCCGAGGGCACGCCUGCCUGGGUGUCACACACCGUUACCCUCGCGCCAACGUCCAUCGUUGGCCGCGGCGCGGGGCGUGCGCUGACCUCCCGCGAGCGGGGUCUCGUGGUUGGUUGAAAAUCGAGUUCGCGGUCGAGGGUGCCGUGAUGAAAUGGUGGAUGGGCGACGCCCGAGGCCAAUCACGCGCGACUCUGUCCGGCUCGGACUUCUGGACCCCUUCGGCGUCUCCGGACGCUCUUUGGCGAGACCUCAGGUCAGGCGGGGCUACCCGCUGAGUUUAAGCAUAUCAAUAAGCGGAGGA